rnacentral:rRNA from 1 species
UACGGAGGGGGCAAGCGUUGUUCGGAAUUACUGGGCGUAAAGGGCGCGCAGGCGGCUGCUCAAGUCAGGCGUGAAAGGCCUGGGCUCAACCCGGAAAGGUCAGCCGAUACUGCAGGGCUAGAGUGCAGAAGGGGCAACUGGAAUUCUCGGUGUAGCGGUGAAAUGCGUAGAUAUCGAGAGGAACACCUGCGGCGAAGGCGGGUUGCUGGGCUGACACUGACGCUGACAGCGCGAAAGCUAGGGGAGCGAACGGG